rnacentral:rRNA from 1 species
UAGCAUGAAUGGUCUGACGAAAGCAAUACUGUCUCCUCUUUAUUUUUUACAGCUUAACAUAUAAGUGACGAGGCCUAUAUUAUAUUGAAGGACAGGAAGACCCUGUCGAGCUUUAAAAUUAAAUGUAGGGGUAAACUAUUAACAAAAUCAAUGGACUGCAUUAUAUUUUUAGUUGGGGCGACGAAGGAACAAACAAAGCUUCUUUUAUUUUUAUAAAUUUAUAGAUUUAGAUCCAGCAAAGCUGAUUAGAGGAAUUAGUUACCGCAGGGAUAACAGCAUAUUCUCCUU